rnacentral:rRNA from 1 species
CCUACGGUGGGCAGCAGUGGGGAAUAUUGCACAAUGGGGGAAACCCUGAUGCAGCGACGCCGCGUGAGUGAAGAAGUAAUUCGUUACGUAAAGCUCUAUCUGCAGGGAAGAAAUACUGACCUUACGGUCAGCAGACGGUACCUGAGUAAGAAGCCCCGGCUAACUACGUGCCAGCAGCCGCGGUAAUACGUAGGGGGCAAGCGUUAUCCGGAGUUACUGGGUGUAAAGGGGGCGUAGGCGGUGCGCCAAGUCUGGGGUGAAAUGCCGCAGCUUAACUGCGGAACUGCUUUGGAAACUGGGGGACUAGAGUGCGGGAGGGGUAAGCGGAAUUCCUAGUGUAGCGGUGAAAUGCGUAGAUAUUAGGAAGAACACCGAUGGCGAAGGCGGCUUACUGGACCGUAACUGACGUUGAGGCUCGAAAGCGUGGGGAGCAAACAGGAUUAGAUACCCGAGUAGUC